AUGAGAGUCGAACCUUUGGGAAAGAGAACAAUGGAUCAAUAUGGAGGUGGUUUAGGUGGUUUUGUUCCACAGUUCCAUAUUGAUCAUCCAAAUGGAGGGUAUUAUAGUAAUCUACCAACUUAUAUGAUGAGGGAUGGUAGUUGCAACAAUGCACCAAAUGCUACUGUAGGUUCUUCUUCUCAUUCUCAAGGUGAACAUGGAAUUGCAGAUGCAUAUGGACAUCAUCAUCAUCAUCGCCAUCAUCAAUAUAAAUAA